UCGCAGCCCGACUUGAGCGGAAAUCCUUUUUUGCUUGUACUCAAUUUCUAUUUGAUGUGAAAUCGUCUUGCAAAAAGAUUGGGAGCGGAAGGCGGAUUAAGC
rnacentral:sRNA from 1 species